AGAGUUUGAUCCUGGCUCAGGAUGAACGCUAGCGGCAGGCUUAACACAUGCAAGUCGAGGGGUAGUCUAGCAAUAGAUGAGACCGGCGCACGGGUGCGUAACGCGUAUGCAAUCUACCUUUUACAGAGGGAUAGCCCAGAGAAAUUUGGAUUAAUACCUCAUAGUAUAUUUUAGUGGCAUCACUAGAUUAUUAAAGUUCCAACGGUAAAAGAUGAGCAUGCGUCCUAUUAGCUAGAUGGUAAGGUAACGGCUUACCAUGGCUACGAUAGGUAGGGGUCCUGAGAGGGAGAUCCCCCACACUGGUACUGAGACACGGACCAGACUCCUACGGGAGGCAGCAGUGAGGAAUAUUGGACAAUGGGCGCAAGCCUGAUCCAGCCAUGCCGCGUGCAGGAAGAAGCAUCUAUGGUGUGUAAACUGCUUUUGUACGGGAAGAAACACUCCUACGUGUAGGAGCUUGACGGUACCGUAAGAAUAAGGAUCGGCUAACUCCGUGCCAGCAGCCGCGGUAAUACGGAGGAUCCAAGCGUUAUCCGGAAUCAUUGGGUUUAAAGGGUCCGUAGGCGGUUUGGUAAGUCAGUGGUGAAAGCCCAUCGCUUAACGAUGGAACGGCCAUUGAUACUGCCAGACUUGAAUUACUGGGAAGUAACUAGAAUAUGUAGUGUAGCGGUGAAAUGCUUAGAUAUUACAUGGAAUACCUAUUGCGAAGGCAGGUUACUACCGGUGGAUUGACGCUGAUGGACGAAAGCGUGGGGAGCGAACAGGAUUAGAUACCCUGGUAGUCC
rnacentral:rRNA from 1 species